GUGGACAGUUGCUACCAUGCAGGUGCAGUCACCUGUACUGUGGGCCUUUGGUCAAGAGGGUAAUAGAUAACUUUCCCAUGAAGCUGUCUGCCAUGAGAGAGGCCUUCAAGCAACAAGAAGUUCAUUAACUUCCUCCAUGACUGGCGCAAUGUAACUGGGUGGAUAGGCCAUUACUGGCAACAAGGUAGAUAUAACCUCUGACCUGUAGUGGUCUCAAUACCUGACCUGUACUGGGCUCCCGAGUGGCGCAGCGUUCUAAGGCACUGCAUCUCAGCGCUAGAGGCAUCACUACAGACCCUGGUUCGAUCCCGGGCUGUAUCACAACCGGCCGUGAUUGGGAGUCCCAUAGGGCGGCGUACAAUUGGCCCAGCGUCAUCCGGAACAGGAGAGAUUUCUACUCCCUAUAUGAAUAGCUGCUGAAGUAAGCCAGGGAUUAAACAAAUCCUACCUCAAUCGCCCAGGAGUUGGCCGACCAUGGAGUAACUUCACCACAUUUCUUCGUCUAUUUACUGUAUAUUCAGUGUGUACAUAUGAAUACCAUAUUGCGCAGUAGUCCCAAACGAACAGGUGUAAAUUGACUGAAUGACGUCUUACAGAUCCAACAUUUCAACUUUGCGGACAUCACCAUGCAUUGUGGCAGAGGUUCAUUGCAGAUGUCGCUAAAUGUUGAAGUCAGCCCUGGUCAACUCAACACCUUCACACUCGACAAGUACACAGUGGAUCUCUAUUGCCUGCCCCCCAAUAAAGUUUAAAUUAGUCUCAUUCAACAACCCAUACAUUUUCAAGAUGGUAAAGAUUUAAAACACGCCCCCAAAACUCACCCAAACUGUAAUUAGGCCAUCCCAUUUAGAUAAGGUGAAAGUCUUGCAACCCAUUAACAGCCCUCCUCUCUCCUCCCUCUGUUUCACCCUCUCUUCCCAUUCAACCUUUACUUUAGAAAUAAAUAUUCAUUCAUGUACUUGACUGUAUGUGUCUGCAUUCAUUUAGUCUUGUGAAGAGAUCGACGUAAACAUAAAUGGUACCAUAGAAUCUGUGGGGAAAGAAUUGGAUGCGAGGAAUAAUGAGCAGCAGGGCAUUUGGCCUGUAACUUGCAAAGAGAGGUGGAGAUCCUCGUUCCGGUUCAGCUCCACAUUCUAGCUCUUAAUCCCUUCUCUUAACAUGUAUAGACCCAGAAUUUAAUCGAGCAGCUGACCAAUUACGCAGGUUUUUAGUUCUGGGUUAACCGAGUAC
rnacentral:lncRNA from 1 species